rnacentral:rRNA from 1 species
UGGCGACCAUAGCAAGAGUGAACCACCUGAUCCCUUCCCGAACUCAGAAGUGAAACCUCUUAGCGCUG